CCCUCGUUAGCUCAGUUGGUAGAGCGCUCCACUUGUAAUGGAGAGGUCCCGGGUUCGAUACCCGGACCAGGCG
rnacentral:tRNA from 1 species